rnacentral:snoRNA from 1 species
AACCCAUGGUGUGGACAUUUUUUAAGCAAAUCCUUAAAUUGUUCCCAAGCCUCAUAUAAAGAUUCACUAUCAAAAUGUGUGAAAAAAGUUAUAUUAUUCCUCAACUU